UCCCUGGUGGCUCAAAUGGUAAAGCAUCUGUCUACAAUGCAGGAGACCCAGGUUUGACCCUGGGUCAGGAAG
rfam:Ovis aries breed Texel chromosome 16, whole genome shotgun sequence.